UACAGAGGGUGCAAACGUUGCUCGGAAUCAUUGGGCGUAAAGCGCACGUAGGCGGCCCAGCAAGCGGGGAGUGAAAGCCCUCGGCUUAACCGAGGAAGUGCUUUCCGAACUACUGGGCUUGAAUACUGGAGAGGGUCGCGGAAUUCCCGGUGUAGAGGUGAAAUUCGUAGAUAUUCGGAAGAACACCAGUGGCGAAGGCGACUCACUGGACAUGUAUUGACGCUGAGGUACGAAAGCGUGGGGAGCAAACAGG
rnacentral:rRNA from 1 species